rnacentral:lncRNA from 1 species
AAAACUCCCAAAAUCAAUACCAACCUUCCUUUUAUGGUCAUAAACCUUGUGUUUAAAUUUCAUAGAUUUCUAUUUACUUAUACUAACGUUAUGGUGCGAAAACCAAGAAAAAUGCUUAUUUAGGUCCCUUUUUGGCCCCUAAUUCCUAAACUGUUAGGACCUAAACUCCCAAAAUCAAUACCAACCUUCCUUUUGUAGUCAUUAACAUUGUGUUUAAAUUUCAUUGAUUUCUAUUUACUUAAACUAAAGUUAUUGUGCGAAAACCAAGAAUAAUGCUUAUUUGGGCCCUGUUUUGGCCCCUAAUUCCUAAACUGUUGAAACCUUUACUCCCAAAAUCAAUCCCAACCGUUCUUUUGUGGUCAUAAACCUUGUGUCAAAAUUUC